rnacentral:rRNA from 1 species
UACGUAGGGUGCAAGCGUUGUCCGGAAUUAUUGGGCGUAAAGAGCUCGUAGGCGGUCUGUCGCGUCUGCUGUGAAAACUCAGGGCUUAACCCUGAGCUUGCAGUGGGUACGGGCAGACUAGAGUGCGGUAGGGGAGACUGGAAUUCCUGGUGUAGCGGUGAAAUGCGCAGAUAUCAGGAGGAACACCGGUGGCGAAGGCGGAUCUCUGGGCCUUACCUGACGCUCAGGUGCGAAAGCUAGGGGAGCGAACAGG